GACGAACGCUGGCGGCGUGCUUAACACAUGCAAGUCGAACGGAAAGGCCCUGCUUUUGUGGGGUGCUCGAGUGGCGAACGGGUGAGUAACACGUGAGUAACCUGCCCUUGACUUUGGGAUAACUUCAGGAAACUGGGGCUAAUACCGGAUAGGAUCUCCUGCUGCAUGGUGGGGGUUGGAAAGUUUCGGCGGUUGGGGAUGGACUCGCGGCUUAUCAGCUGGUUGGUGGGGUAGUGGCGUACCAAGGCUUUGACGGGUAGCCGGCCUGAGAGGGUGACCGGCCACAUUGGGACUGAGAUACGGCGCAGACUCCUACGGGAGGCAGCAGUGGGGAAUAUUGCACAAUGGGCGGAAGCCUGAUGCAGCAACGCCGCGUGCGUGAUGACGUCCUUCGGGUUGUAAACCGCUUUCGCCUGUGACGAAGCGUGAGUGACGGUAAUUGGUAAAGAAGCACCGGCUAACUACGUG
rnacentral:rRNA from 1 species